CUGAGUACUUGGGACACGGCUCCCUGAGGAUGACCUCGUGCUGGUCCUGAUUGGACCUGGAUUUCCAGAGGACUGGAGUUCAUCUGCAUCCUGUCGGCCACAGUCAGGGAGUGGCUAAAAACACACAGACAAGCCCAGACACCACUGAGCUGCCUCCCUUCUAGCUGUGCUGGCCCUGGUCACCCUGGCACCUUAAAACUGCCUGCAUUGAGCAAAGAGAAUUUCCCCUGGUGGCUCAGAAAACUUGCAGAAACUUGGAGGCUCAGCCAAAGAGGAACUGGUGGCCAUUUACUGACCGAAAUCUGCCCCACCCAGAACCAGCUGGCCUUGGUCUGAGACCCUAGCAGCUAGGAGCCUCUGAUCUCCAUCCUGGACGAAUGUUAAUUCCAGAUAGAAGACAUCCUUAGAUGGGAUGGGUGGUGGGUUGGUGGAUUGGGGUACAGACAGGGGAUGACAGUAAGACCAACAGCAAUCCAGGCAGCAAAACCUUGUACAUGAGUCAGGACUACACAUAACGGGGCAAUCACACUCCGGGAUGCAUCCAGACCUGGAGACAUGUGGUACCCCUCUGGUCAGGUUAUGGUUAUCCCUGCUCACCAAGUCUGGCUACUUAACACCCAGCAGUGCCCUUGUACUAGUUAAGAAAAAGCAACUGAAUUUCCAAAAGGGAGCUGCAAUGUUGGCUGAAUGUAAGCAGCAGCAGAAUCAAUCCCAUCCCUGCCAAGACCCAGUUGCUGAUGCAGGAUUCUGAACUUCAGAGGAAACUAAGUAAUUCUCCCUGUGGAGACACUGAACCUGAGAUCAAAGAAGGUUUGAGGAGAGAAGGAGGCUGAGAGCAGAUUUGCACCAGGCCAUUCAGAAAGGGCAUCUUGAAGAGAACUCCUGGACUUUAGCUCUGGAGGAAGUAAGGGGCUGGAGAGAUGGUUCAGUGGUUAAGAGUUCCGACUGCUCUUCCAGAGGUCCUGAGUUCAAUUCCCAGCAACCACAUGGUGGCUUGCAACCAUCUGUAAUGGUAUCUGAAAACUUCUUCUGGUGUCUCUGAAG
ensembl:lncRNA